AUUGAACGCUGGCGGCAGGCCUAACACAUGCAAGUCGAGCGGAUGAAGGGAGCUUGCUCCUGGAUUCAGCGGCGGACGGGUGAGUAAUGCCUAGGAAUCUGCCUGGUAGUGGGGGAUAACGUCCGGAAACGGGCGCUAAUACUGCAUACGUCCUGAGGGAGAAAGUGGGGGAUCUUCGGACCUCACGCUAUCAGAUGAGCCUAGGUCGGAUUAGCUAGUUGGUGGGGUAAAGGCCUACCAAGGCGACGAUCCGUAACUGGUCUGAGAGGAUGAUCAGUCACACUGGAACUGAGACACGGUCCAGGCUCCUACGGGAGGCAGCAGUGGGGAAUAUUGGACAAUGGGCGAAAGCCUGAUCCAGCCAUGCCGAGUGUGUGAAGAAGGUCUUCGGAUUGUAAAGCACUUUAAGUUGGGAGGAAGGGCAGUAAGUUAAUACCUUGCUGUUUUGACGUUACCAACAGAAUAAGCACCGGCUAACUUCGUG
rnacentral:rRNA from 1 species